rnacentral:lncRNA from 1 species
UCUUCCCGCCUCGGCCUCCCAGAGUGCUGAGAUUACAGACGUGAACCCAUGCCUGGCCAGGAAUUUUGUUUUUUAGGAAGGCUUUCUACUAAUGGAAUUCCUGGCCUUGAGAGGAUGUUACUUUAGAAGGAAAGGAUUUUUUUGUUAUUAAAAGCUGGACCUACCAUGAAAGACUUCUGAAUCCAGGAAGAGAAACUGACUGGGCAACAUGUUAUUCAGAUGGGGUCUUCUUAUGUUGCCCAGGUUGGUCUCAAAUU